rnacentral:rRNA from 1 species
GACGAACCGAGCGAACGUUAUUCGGAAUCACUGGGCUUAAAGGGCGCGUAGGCGGGCCAUCAAGUCAGGGGUGAAAGCCUCCAGCUCAACUGGAGAAGUGCCUCUGAUACUGGUGGUCUCGAGGGAGGUAGGGGCGUGCGGAACUUCCGGUGGAGCGGUGAAACGCGUAGAUAUCGGAAGGAACACCGGUGGCGAAAGCGGCGCGCUGGACCUCUUCUGACGCUGAGGCGCGAAAGCCAGGGGAGCGAACGGG